GGCAGCAGUGAGGAAUAUUGGUCAAUGGAGGAAACUCUGAACCAGCCAAGUCGCGUGAAGGAAGAAUGUCCUAAGGAUUGUAAACUUCUUUAGCGAGCGAGUAAGGACUUCCACGCGUUGGGAGUUUGAAAGUAGCUCGAGAAUAAGUAUCGGCUAACUCCGUGCCAGCAGCCGCGGUAAUACGGAGGAUACGAGCGUUAUCCGGAUUUAUUGGGUUUAAAGGGUGCGCAGGUGGUCCUGCAAGUCAGUGGUGAAAAGCUGAGGCUCAACCUCAGCCUUGCCGUUGAAACUGCAAGACUUGAGAGUACAUGAUGUGGGCGGAAUGCGAAGUGUAGCGGUGAAAUGCAUAGAUAUUACGCAGAACUCCGAUUGCGAAGGCAGCUCACAAAGGUAUGUCUGACACUGAGGCACGAAAGCGUGGGGAGCAAACAGGAUUAGAUACCCUGGUAGUCCACGCCGUAAACGAUGAUUACUCGAAGUAUGCGAUAUGACAGUAUGCUUCCAAGCGAAAGUGAUAAGUAAUCCACCUGGGGAGUACGCCGGCAACGGUGAAACUCAAAUGAAUUGACGG
rnacentral:rRNA from 2 species